rnacentral:lncRNA from 1 species
GUCCCGAUCCUGGGCGCGGGCAUCUGGCUGGGCCACCGCGCCGACGGCACCGAGUGCGAGCGCUACCUCUCGGCGCCCGUCAUCGCGCUGGGGGCCUUCCUCCUCGCCGUCUCCCUGGCGGGCCUCGUCGGCGCCUGCUGCCGCGUCACCUGGCUGCUCUGGGCCUACCUCCUCGCCAUGUUCGUCCUCAUCCUCGUCCUCUUCUGCUUCACCGUCUUCGCCUUCGUCGUCACCAACAGGGGCGCCGGCGAGGCCGUCUCCGGCCGCG